rnacentral:rRNA from 1 species
AACGGGGGAUGCAAGCGUUAUCCGGAUUUAUUGGGUUUAAAGGGUGCGUAGGCUGUGAGGUAAGUCAGCGGUGAAAUGCCCCCGCUCAACGGGGUGAAGUGCCAUUGAUACUGCCUUGCUGGAAUGCGGAUGCCGUGGGAGGAAUGUGUGGUGUAGCGGUGAAAUGCAUAGAUAUCACACAGAACACCGAUUGCGAAGGCAUCUCACGAAUCCGCUAUUGACGCUGAUGCACGAAAGCGUGGGUAUCAAACAGG